ACGUGCGCAGAUGGUGCGCGUCUUGUCGUGAAUGUCAGUUGGUAAACCCACCGGCCACCCCAAAAGCGCCAUUGGGCCCUCUUCCUCUAGUGCAGGUCCCCUUCGAACGAAUUGUCAUAGUCGAUUACGCAACCCGAUAUCCCGAGGCAGUGGCGCUCCGCAGCAUCUCGGCAAAGAGUGUGGUGGACGUCCUGUUUCGUUUAAUCUCCCGCGUGGGAAUCCCAAAAGAGAUUCUCACGGACCAGGGCACCGCGUUUAUGUCAUGCACGUUACGCGAAUUGUACGAAUUAUUGGGCAUUAAAGCGGUACGUACCAGCGUCUAUCACCCACAAACGGACGGACUGGUCGAACGCUUUAAUCGCACCUUGAAAACGAUGAUUCGUAAAUUUGUACAAGAGGACGCGAAAAAUUGGGACAGAUCGCUGGAACCCCUCUUAUUCUCUGUGCGCGAGGUCCCCCAAGCCUCCACGGGGUUUUCCCCCUUCGAGCUUCUUUACGGACGCCAGCCCCGGGGGGUUAAAAACGAAAUUCAAUAUGUCAUGGACCUGAGGGCAAAACUCCAUACACUGGGGCAGCUCUCUAUGGAGAAUUUGCUUUAGGCCCAGGGCAGACAGAGCCAGUCGUAUAACAGGGGAAC